UCUCACCGUGAAGUUUUCUACAACUUUCCAGAAGACAUCGACUUGAGAUAACCAUCGUGGUGGCCGCUAGAAGACCGAGAAGCCGCACAGCCCGAGCUGGAAAUCGUCUUCCUUCGCCACCUUGGUUCUCCCAGCUCCGGCCACUAUAGCUCGAGUUCUUUGAGGGCUUUUCUAGCCCAGAGGAAGUAGAAGCUAUCCCCAAGAAGGCUUGCAGCGAUUUGAUCCGGGGUGAUCGAAUUUUGGAGUUUUGAAACUAGGGUUCAUCGGAUCCGUCGACUUCCAAGGUGAUUGACGGUUUGAGUUGGUGGACGAUUGUGGAUCGUAUUUUGAGCUGAAUUGAAGACGCAGCGGGAUUAUCGAGCGGGUACUACUACAGGUCAAGAGAAUCAGGAUGGAGAUCGAGCUGCGUAGAGUAGCUGCAAUUGUGUCGAUCUAAAUUACUUUGUGAGGUGUAUUAUGCUCAUUUAGAGCUUUACAAUAUUGCUUGUGAGAGUGAAUUGUAAUAAUGAACUCGAGGUUUCGAGAUUUGGAGUUUGUGUACCGUGUGGUGAGGUUAUAUUGAGAAAAAAAUUCAGAACG